UACGGAAGGCAGCAGUGGGGAAUAUUGCACAAUGGGCGCAAGCCUGAUGCAGCCAUGCCGCGUGUAUGAAGAAGGCCUUCGGGUUGUAAAGUACUUUCAGUCGUGAGGAAGGUGUUAAGGUUAAUAACCUUAGCAAUUGACGUUAGCGACAGAAGAAGCACCGGCUAACUCCGUGCCAGCAGCCGCGGUAAUACGGAGGGUGCGAGCGUUAAUCGGAAUUACUGGGCGUAAAGGGCACGCAGGCGGUUAAUUAAGUUGGAUGUGAAAAUCCCCGGGCUUAAACCUGGGAAUGGCAUUCAAGACUGGUUAGCUAGAGUCUUGUAGAGGGGGUAGAAUUCCAUGUGUAGCGGUGAAAUGCGUAGAGAUGUGGAGGAAAUACCGGUGGCGAAAGGCGGCCCCUGGACAAAAGACUGACGCUCAUGUGCGAAAAGCGUGGGGAGCAAAACAGGGAUUAGAUACC
rnacentral:rRNA from 1 species